rnacentral:rRNA from 1 species
UACGUAGGGUCCGAGCGUUGUCCGGAAUUAUUGGGCGUAAAGGGCUCGUAGGCGGUUCGUCACGUCGGGAGUGAAAACUCGGGGCUUAACCCCGAGCCUGCUUCCGAUACGGGCAGACUAGAGGUAGGCAGGGGAGAGCGGAACUCCUGGUGUAGCGGUGGAAUGCGCAGAUAUCAGGAAGAACACCGAUGGCGAAGGCAGUUCUCUGGGCCGUAACUGACGCUGAGGAGCGAAAGCGUGGGGAGCGAACAGG